AUUGAACGCUGGCGGCAGGCUUAACACAUGCAAGUCGAGCGGAGUGAUGGUGCUUGCACUAUCACUUAGCGGCGGACGGGUGAGUAAUGCUUAGGAAUCUGCCUAUUAGUGGGGGACAACAUCUCGAAAGGGAUGCUAAUACCGCAUACGUCCUACGGGAGAAAGCAGGGGAUCACUUGUGACCUUGCGCUAAUAGAUGAGCCUAAGUCGGAUUAGCUAGUUGGUGGGGUAAAGGCCUACCAAGGCGACGAUCUGUAGCGGGUCUGAGAGGAUGACCCGCCACACUGGGACGGAGACACGGCCCAGACUCCAAGGGGGGGCAGAAGUGGGGAAUAUUGGAAAAGGGGGGAAACCCUGUUCCAGCCAUGCCGCGGGGGGGAAGAAGGCCUUAUGGUUGUAAAGCACUUUAGGCGGGGAGGAGGCUUUUUUGGUUAAUCCCCAAGAUGAGUGGACGUUACUCGAAGAAUAAGCACCGGCUAACUCUGUGCCAGCCGCCGCCGUAA
rnacentral:rRNA from 1 species